UUACGGUUAUAUCAUUUUGAAACACUGGUCCUUAUACGAUCACCGGAAUUAAGCAACGUCGAAACUGUACAGUACUUAGAGGGGUGACCGCUUGGGAACACGAUGUGCUGUAAG